AUGCUUUUAAAGGCGAGGGCAAAGCGAGGGAGGGAAAGCAGCAGCAGGGAGCCGGUGCUAAAAGCCCCGCACCUGCAAGGAUUUCACCACCUGAGCACAGCACCAGGGCCCAGAGCUCCUCUGGGCAGCCACGGGGGCAAAAAACAAGGCUGGAGGCAGGAGGAGGCGCUGGGACAGGGAAGUGAAAGAGGCAGAGAUAGCGCUGCCACCCUUCCCACCGCCGCCUGCAGUAAUCACAGCCGCUCUCACUUCUCCCUCGCUGCCCCCACGGUUCCUCCGCAGGCGGGUUUUGGUUCCUCUCCGCUCCCCGGCCACCUUCCCUGUUUCGAGGCCGAGCCUUCAAACCGCUUCAGCUUUUAUUUCCAGUUUCUAAACCGCAGGGAUGCCGCCGGUUCCCAUGGCCCGUGCUGCUCCCUGCCCCGUCCCGGCACCCGCGUCCCCUCCAGGAGCUGGGGGCAAGACAGGGACCAAGCCCAGAGAGGUGCCCCAGGGGGAAGGAUGGGGAUGCUUUGGGCUCAGGAUGGGGGUGCUUUGGGAGAAGAAUGCUUUUCAAGGAGGAUAAAGCUGGGGGAUGUUAAUAAGUUGGUGACUUACACAGACAAGCACAUCACCUCCCCACCUCCCUCCAGCCCCAGGGCAUGGAUGGGAGCAACUCCUGGCCCACCAUGCCCGCAGCCCCCAGCACAUGUUGGUAAGCCCAACCACUUUAUUUUAUUUUAUUUUGUUUUGAAGAAUCACUGCAACACGACUGGCAUCGGAACGAAGCGUGGGCUCUGUUCUGCUUUUGUUAAUUUUAGUGCCGACGCAUGCAAACGACGGCGGAGAGUCAAUAUUGACUUUCCACUGAAGCAAGCGCCCGGGUUCAUUGACUGCAGGGGUGAGGGCUCUCCAGCAGCUGCACGGGGCUGGCGCUCACAGCCCGUGGAGCACCGCAGGAGCCUGGCCACCGAGUGCCACCCGUGCAAAAAGGCUGCUGCUUGCAGCGCCGCGCACGCGGGGUGCAGGGACCCCGCAGCUCGGUCACAGCGGGGAAAAUCCCAGCCCCAAGGAGGCUUCCCCAGAGGGAAAGGAGCCGCGGGUGGGAAGCCCCUGAGCAGGGCUGGCAGGGAAGGGCAGGAGAAGGGGCUUCCCGGGGGACACAGCGAGCCCCCGGCUUCAUCUGCUGCCGUCUCUGCUUUCAGAGCGAGAGCUGGCAGCCAAAACCUCGCCGCCUUUAUAAAGGGGCCGCGCGUGCCAAGGGCCAGGUCACGGGGCAGGCGCAGCAGGGUCACCGCUCACAAGAGCAGCAGGCGGGGGCUGGGGCUUUUCCUGCUGCCCCCACCUCGGCUUGGCCCUACAGGGUCCUGGCCACCACCAUGGGAGCUCCGUGCCCCCAGCCAUGCGUCCCCAGGCACAUGGCACUGCACGGCAUGGCCAGGGCGCACAGGGCGCAGGCACCGUGCUGAAGGGUCGUGGCCAUCAGGGGCUGGGGUUGCCCCCAGGUCCCUGCCGGGGGCUUUACCAGCAGCCCGGGGGCUCUGCCAGUCACAGACCAGCUCUGUCCCAGCCGCAUUCCUCGGCGUUGACGUGGUUUUCUUUCUUCCCCCAACCUUAUCUUGCUCCAGUUUGUGCCUUGUGUUUCUCCAGAGCUGCAAAGCAGCCCGGGGAGCCGUGCAAACCGAGCUGACGGCAUGCCUGGGGGCUGCUGCUGCUCCUCAGGCAGCUCUAAGGCUUCCUGCGGGUUUUCUGCUGGCCGAGCAGAGGUCACCCAGCCCAAACCCUUUGCAGAGCAUGACAAAAAACGGAGCAUUUCCCUAA
rnacentral:lncRNA from 1 species